rnacentral:rRNA from 1 species
UGGGGAAUAUUGCACAAUGGGGGAAACCCUGAUGCAGCGACGCCGCGUGAGUGAAGAAGCAUUUCGGUGCGUAAAGCUCUGUCAGCGGGGAAGAAAGGCGGUUCUCGCGAACCGCGGACGGUACCCGACCAAGAAGCCCCGGCUAACUACGUGCCAGCAGCCGCGGUAAUACGUAGGGGGCAAGCGUUAUCCGGAUUUACUGGGUGUAAAGGGAGCGUAGACGGCGAUGCAAGUCUGGAGUGAAAGGCCGGGGCCCAACCCCGGGACUGCUCUGGAAACUGCAAGGCUGGAGUACAGGAGAGGUAAGUGGAAUUCCUAGUGUAGCGGUGAAAUGCGUAGAUAUUAGGAGGAACACCAGUGGCGAAGGCGGCUUACUGGACUGUAACUGACGUUGAGGCUCGAAAGCGUGGGGAGCAAACAGG